GCAUGUUUGAUUUGGGAUCUUGCCAUCCACUUGGUUUUAUCUCAGUAUACGGCGUGCCAUAUCAAAAUGACUCCGAACCAUUGGCUGGUCCCAUCCAGUGGACCAAAUCACUGAAGCGAGUCAGACAUCA
rnacentral:snoRNA from 10 species